rnacentral:rRNA from 1 species
GACGAACGCUGGCGGCGUGCCUAACACAUGCAAGUCGAGCGGAGAUUGCAGCAAUGUAAUCUUAGCGGCGGACGGGUGAGUAACGCGUGGGCAACCUGCCUUUUACUGGGGGAUAACACAGGGAAACUUGUGCUAAUACCGCAUAACAUCAUGAGAGGACAUCCUUUUAUGAUCAAAGGAGCAAUCCGGUGAAAGAUGGGCCCGCGUCCGAUUAGCUAGUUGGUGGUGUAACGGACCACCAAGGCGACGAUCGGUAGCCGAACUGAGAGGUUGAUCGGCCACAUUGGGACUGAGACACGGCCCAGACUCCUACGGGAGGCAGCAGUGGGGAAUAUUGCGCAAUGGGGGAAACCCUGACGCAGCAACGCCGCGUGAAGGAUGAAGGUUUUCGGAUCGUAAACUUCUUGAUGAGGGACGAAAAUGACGGUACCUCAAAACAAGCCACGGCUAACUACGUG